AUUGAACGCUGGCGGCAUGCUUUACACAUGCAAGUCGAACGGUAACAGGCCUUCGGGUUCUGCCGAGUGGCGGACGGUGGCGUAAUGCAUCGGAACGUGCCCGGAUGUGGGUGUUCGCGCAGCGAAAGCUGUGGUAAUACAGCCUGUUAUCUGAGAAUGACAACGGGGGACCGGGCAGGAAUGUUUGGCCUCGCGCGUUUGGAUCGGCCGAUGUCGGAUUAGGUAGUUGGUGGGGUAAAGGCCUACCAAGCCGACGAUCCGUAGCUGGUCUGAGAGGAUGAUCAGCCACACUGGAACUGAGACACGGCCCAGACUCCUACGGGAGGCAGCAGUGGGGAAUUUUGGACAAUGGGCGCAAGCCUGAUCCAGCAAUGCCGCGUGCGUGAAGAAGGCCUUCGGGUUGUAAACCGCUUUUGUACGGAACGAAAAGGAUCUGGCUAAUACCUGGCGGUGAUGACGGUACCGAAAGAAUAAGCACCGGCUAACUACGUG
rnacentral:rRNA from 1 species